rnacentral:rRNA from 1 species
CAAAAACAUUGUUUCCUGUUAUUACUAUAGGAAAUACCUCCUGCCCAGUGAAAAUUUCAACGGCCGCGGUAUCCUAACCGUGCAAAGGUAGCAUAAUCACUUGCCCAUUAAUUGUGGGCUAGAAUGAAAGGAUAAACAAAAUAAAUUCUGUCUCUAUUAUUAUACUAAAAAUUAAUAUCUAAAUGAAGAAGUUUAGAUAAAAUUGAUGGACAAGAAGACCCUAUAGAGCUUUAUUUACAUUAAGAAUCUAUUUCUUAAAUAAAAUUUGGUUGGGGCGACCAAGGAAUAAAUUAAUCAUCCUUAUAACAAAGACUUAUUAGUCUUUACUAUGACCCUAUAAUAUAGAUCUAAAGAUCAAGCUACCUUAGGGAUAACAGGCUAAUCUUAUUUAAGAGUUCUUAUCUAAAAUAAGGGUUGGCACCUCGAUGUUGGCUUAGGAAAUCUUAAUAGCGCAAAAG